UGGGGAAUAUUGGACAAUGGGCGAAAGCCUGAUCCAGCCAUGCCGCGUGAGGGAUGAAGGCCUUCGGGUUGUAAACCUCUUUUGUCAGGGAAAAUAAUGAUGGUACCUGAAGAAUAAGGACCGGCUAACUUCGUGCCAGCAGCCGCGGUAAUACGAAGGGUCCUAGCGUUGUUCGGAAUUACUGGGCGUAAAGGGUUCGUAGGCGGUUAUUUAAGUUAGGCGUGAAAGCCCAGGGCUCAACCUUGGAACUGCGCUUAAGACUGGGUAACUCGAGUUUGGGAGAGGUAAGUGGAAUUCCUAGUGUAGAGGUGAAAUUCGUAGAUAUUAGGAGGAACAUCAGUGGCGAAGGCGACUUACUGGACCAAUACUGACGCUGAGGAACGAAAGUGUGGGGAGCAAA
rnacentral:rRNA from 1 species